rnacentral:misc_RNA from 1 species
AAUCUAUAUCAAUAAAAAAAGGAGAAUAGAUGGUUUUUUGAAAGGAGAAAGUGCAAAUGCCAAAACAUCAAAUGCCACAUAAGAGGAGAAAGUACACAUGCCAAAGUUAGCAUCAAUUACCACAUGCACGCCUACGUCUAAAAGAAAAAAAAAUCCUUCUCAUGUUGAUCUCUAAAUAUCAAGAAUCCUAACCUCUGAUAGAGAAAAGAAGAGCAAAACUUUAAUAAGCAUUCAAUAAAGAUAGAUGAAAGGUUGCAGUGGAGAGAAA